rnacentral:lncRNA from 1 species
AUUGAAAUGCACAGGCAGCAGCUCAAGACUCCCAAUGAAGUCCGCAGCCUGACUUUAUUUGGAUUUUCAGGUGCAACAAAUUGUACACUGGCUACUGCUGCACUUGCGUGCACAUUUUUGGGGAAGACAGCACAGAGGAUCCACUGGUCUACAACAUUGAGAAGGAUAAAGACAGGAACAAACAGUUAAGACAAGUCCCUGACCAGAAUCCAGUUUCAGCUCUAAUUACAGAAGAGCAUCAAUGACCAAGAAACAGUUACCCCCUUAUUUUAAACUGUGAAGGAAAAUUCAGUCUUACCUACAGCAUCGAGUCUCCUGUAUUCUUCAGCAUCAUAUCUUUAUGGAAUAUCUUUAUUAUUCUAGGAAGGAUCCAGCAAAGCUCACUCUUCCUUAGUGAAGUCAACAUGAACAUCGUCACGGGUCACUGCAUUCUAAAUUAUACAAUAAAUGUAUAAAAACAAAGUUACACUGACAACACUAUAAAUGCAAAUAUCUUUGAAAAUAUAGUAAUAUAAUUCUCAUGAUUCGUAUACCUAUUCCAUGACACAGCUAAUGGAAUCACCUAGUCACUUAAAAAGAAAGCUGAAUAAGAGGGUCACCUCUGUUAUUUCAUCACCCUUUGAGUAGGAUAUUGCCAUGUUAAAGAAAUGCCUUUUAACAGACAGAGAUACACAAGCAAACAAAUCAAUAGUAUUCAGCACACAUCAGAGAAAUGGCAUUAAACAAUAUCUACAAGAAAGAUGGGCAAACAGGAUGUACAAGCUCAUGCCUUCAUUUGCUUCAGGAAACAAG